CGUCCAGAGUGUGGUGAAGGGCCUGGCCGCUCUUGCUGGGGCUUUGCUCCCGCAGCUUCCAGGUCGGCCCUCGCUCAGCGCGGGGAGUCGGGGAGGGGCACAGGGCGUGGGGGCCUCGCCCCGGUGGGGCCCUUCGUGACCCCCAGGACGGGAACUUGAGCCACCGCCCCAGGGUGAACCCCUCGUGGCCUUCCCUUGACCACCCCGAGUGAAGCCGCCAAUUCCUUCAGAUGAUCAAGACCGUUGCGGCCAUGGUCGGGAAAUCUGUUGGCAGGGGCGUGUGUGCAGAAAGCCGGGAUCAUCGUCUCUUUUAGGCCCUCGCCUGUGUUUCCCGCUGACAGCUUAGCUUCAGCACCUUCCGCGGUGCCAGUGGUGCUCUCCUGAGUAAGCUUUCUUAAAAGCCUGCAGUGGCAUCAGUGUUGGUGUGGAAUGUUUCAAACCUGAAGUUUCCAAAUGGAUUCUGCUAUGGUAGUGUUCGCGUUUCAGGAAUGAUUUUGUCAGGACUCUUUCUGUCUUUUGAAAUAAGAGAUGUUCCACCAACGAUCAGCAGGUAUCUUGAGCAAAUGGGUGGAUGCAUAUAUUGAGUAUGAAGAUAUAACAAAAAGCAAGGACAUGGUUACCAUGAGCCACAGAGGAGCAGAUGCCCCCAGCGGAGAGGGAGAGCUUACUGCCAGUGGGAAGGACACACUUCUGGGCAUCAGCCAUGUUUCCUGUCUUCUCCUGAGUGCAAUCCUACAGGGACAAGGAUCCUUAUUUGUUCCCUGACGGACCUUAGGUGGCUUGACCAGUACCCGUGGCACAGCAGUCAAUACAAAUUGGCCGGAUGGAAGGAGGGAUCGUUCCUCACAUUCACAGGUGAGUGAACGAAGAUUCCGGGGGACUGAGUGUUUCGCUCAGGCCCAGAGCUGGUAACUGUCAGGCCAAGGUGGGUUUCAGGUACCUAUGAACCUGAGGGAGGCUUGAGUGAUUCCCUUUAUGUUGAUUAGUAUUUCUCAGGUGUCUCUUUUUUCUGGCUCUAACUUUUGACCUCUUUCUGUUAUUCUUCUAAGCUUUCAACCAGUUUUAAGUUUUAAUUUUGCUUUGUUUCAGGUAAACAAAUGAAAUCGGUAAAUCUUUUAACUCAUUAUUUAUUUCAUCUAAAUACAUUGUGAUUAGUGAUGAUGUUUCAUUUCUGGCAUCUUGUUUUGUGAUUUCUAUUUGCUUUGCUCUGCUUUUCUCUUGCCUGUUAUACACCUUGCCGUCAUGGUUAAGAGCAUGGCGUCUAGAGACAGCUUAUCUGGGCUUGGUUCCCUCCCUCGCUAACCAUGUAACCAGGAUAUGUAAUCCCUCUGAGACUCACUUUCUUCAUAUACAAAAAGUGGUACUAUCCAAAUCACAGACUGUGAGGAUUAAGUGAUAAAAUAGAUGAAGAACUUAGAAUAGUGACCGGCCUAUUUUGCAUGCUUCAU